rnacentral:lncRNA from 1 species
GUGUCUGCGCCAUGCUUCUUCAGUCUUCGAGCUGGAAGCUUUCCGGGGAGGGUCAGUAAUGGCCACUGAGCCCUCUGUUGGCUUAUUGGCUGAGCUCACUGAUGAGGAAACCUUGAGUUCGUCACUUUCUCUUCUCUAAUUGCUGAAGUGGCCGUCACUGAAGAUGACAGAGCGUUUCUGAAGGACACAUGGGAAUCAUUAACCAGCCCAAUAAAAUGAUCUAUUUAUGAAGAGAAAGUCAGCACUGAACCACAGGCCACUUAGAGUUCCAUCUUGAUGCUACAAGAGCUGCAGGAGGCUUUGAACUGACAUGGUGAAUGUGGAUGCAUGUAGAGUUCCUUGGACAGCCCAGGGAAGGACCUCCACCUUCGUUGCUCCCUUCUCCUGUCCCCCCACCUACCAAAACACAGGAACCCCAUCUUCAGACAGAAGGCAUGCUGCCUCAUGAAGGCUCACAGUUCCAGCCCUUAGAACCAUCCAGAGGUUAGACUCAGGGCACAACCAUCAGACGAAGUGGGAGGAAGAAACAUUAACUUCAACAGCUGUUUCUUGACCCCGGCUGUCAGUCUUCCCAAGAAUAAAUUUUGGAGAGUCCUAUUUGAAACAAAGAGGGAGUUUUGGGGGAGAGAAAAGUUGGUUGGUUCCAGGGCAGCCGCCCAAAGAAGCAGGGAACAAGAUGUUUGCAGUUACCACGCAGCCUGCAAGCCUCUGCCGGGUGCAGGCAAGGAGCAAAGUAACUUGAAAGCUCCCCUCUCGGCGCCCUGUGCCUGCAGCUUCCCCCCCUAACGCGCGCCCAGAUCCAGCGCCGGUGGUAAGAGCCGAAGCUCGACUACAGUAAUUCCCCAGCUCGGGCGGCUUGAAACUGCUCGGGCUGAAUAGCAUUUGCUGUUCCGUCCUGUGGCAGCCUCCCGCCGCCGCUGCCGCGCUCCCUGCAAAGCAGCUCUCAUUAUCCCGGAAGUUGUGCUGACACAGUCUCGCUGCCACCAGAAGUUUGUCAACAUCAAACUUCUCCUGUGUGGGGUACGUUCACCUUCCACGAGUAUUUAAUCGAGCCAACAAGCAAACAAACAAACCCAAAUAAACCUGCCCGUGAUGUCAUGGUC